GACGAACGCUGGUGGCGUGCUUAACACAUGCAAGUCGAACGAUGAAAUGGAGCUUGCUCCAUGGAUUAGUGGCGAACGGGUGAGUAACACGUGAAUAACCUGCCCUUAAUUUUGGAAUAACCCAGGGAAACCUGGGCUAAUACCGGAUAAGUAAACCUGUGGCAUCACAUGGUUUUGGAAAGUUUUUCGAUUAAGGAUGGAUUCGCGGCCUAUCAGCUUGUUGGUGAGGUAAUGGCUCACCAAGGCGACGACGGGUAGCCGGCCUGAGAGGGUGAACGGCCACACUGGGACUGAGACACGGCCCAGACUCCUGCGGGAGGCAGCAGUGGGGAAUAUUGCGCAAUGGACGAAAGUCUGACGCAGCGACGCCUCGUGAGGGACGAAGGUCUUCGGAUUGUAAACCUCUUUCAGCAGGGACGAAGCGAAAGUGACGGUACCUGCAGAAGAAGCACCGGCUAACUAUGUGCCAGCAGCCGCAGUAA
rnacentral:rRNA from 1 species